rnacentral:lncRNA from 1 species
AUGCAACUAAUUGGCAGCAGAUUCCUCUCUGCUGCCAACACUGUGCUUAGAGUAACUUGCGUCGCUCCCACACACACAGCAGACAGGAUUUCCAACACGAACAGAUCAGCCAAGGAUUGUAGCAGUAGAGUAGACCCAGUUCCUUUCCGUAGUUCAAAGCCAGAAGCAGACGUUUGUAGAUUCCAAGUCCAAGAAGGGGGGAAGACAAGCCGUGGUCAGUUCAGUCCGAGUUUUCAAAACAGGAGAUGGCGUCCGUCAAGAAGACGACGGAAGGUCAAGGUCUCAGCACAGGAAAACACACCAGUCUUCAGGAAAGCGUCCCACACAGAUCCCAAGCGUUCGUCCAGAUUACCUUGCCCAACGCAAUUUGCAAUUGCUCCCAAGCCCCAUUUUAUGCCAGUUACAAAUCCUCAUCACUGUCAGCUGUCCUCCUUAACCCGGGCGUUUCCUCAUCACUUUCCUCAUCAGAGCUGGAACACCUCUGACUACGCCCCACAGCAUCUAGCUAAGCCAUGGGUCUAAUCCUGAAGGUCCCCAUUCAUCUUCUAUCCCAUCAUGACCAGUGGCACCCAAUUCCUCCCUUACCCGAGUCCAAUCCAUCUCAUCCUCCUCCGAGCUAACCAGCCCCUCCUCCAUUCUCUCCGUAAACCCCUCAAAAGACUCUUCGUCAGAUGGUGCUGCAAAAAUGUCUCGCAGUCUUUUUCUUUCUCGCUCCUCGAGAGUAUCUGACUCUCGAGGAGUCUUACGCCCACGUCUGUCAGUAACAGAGCCAUGAGGCUCAAUCAUGCAGUGUGCAUAGGAAUUUACCUGGCCCCUGCCCUCAGUUUUAUAAUAUAAUAUUUUUAUAUCAGUUUUAAUAAUAUAAUAUAUUGUAUAUACAUAUAAUAUUGAUAAUAAUCUUAUGUUAUACAAUAUAAUACUAAUAGCAAUACCAUAUAAUAAUAUUAAUUGUAUGUUAUAUAUUACAUAUUAUAUAAUAGUAUAGUGGUAUAGUUCAAUACAGUAAUAUAUAAUGCUAAUAUUGUGUUAUGCUAAUAAUAUAAUAUAUUGUAUGUACAUACAGCUGCUCUGAGUCCCCUUUGGGGUGAGAAGGGCGGGAUAUAAAUGUAGUAAAUAAAUGCAGUAAAUAAAUAAUUAAUUUUAGACUUAGGCUCGGCCAAAGUCUGACAUGACUUGAAGGCACACAACAACAACAACAACAACAACAAUCCUAAUUAACUUGGCUAUCUCAUUGGCCAGUAGCAGGUCCACACUUUCCAUUGAAAUCCUAAUAGGUUUAUGUUGGUUAAACUUGUUUUCAUUUUUAAAUAUUGUAUUGUUCUUUCGUUGUUGUUGUUGUUGUUGCACUACAAAUAAGAUAUGUGCAGUAUGCAUAGGAAUUUGUUUGUAUUUUUUUUCCAAAUGAUAAUCCGGCCCCUCAACAGUCUGAAGGAUUGUGGACCGGCCCUCUGCUUAAAAAGUUUGGGGACCCCUGAUCUACACACACACACACACACACACACACACACACACAUACUGGUGGGGUUCAGGGGUGGGGGUGGGACUGACAGAUGAUGAUAAGAGUUGUAGUCCAGCCACUUCAGAGAGCCAUGUGGUUUCCGAACAAGAUAGAUCUCAACCAAACUUGAUAAAUAUAUCCUUUAUGACUCAGCUUAAAAUACUGGCAAGAUUAGGGGAAGCCAGAUAGAUCAUAAUGGGAGUUGGAGUCCAGCCACAUCCAGAGGAGCAGCAUUAUCCCCACCCACAACCGAGGGCAUAACUUUCCUCCAAACCAGUCAGACAGCAUCUCCCAACAUCCAUUGCUAGGUAGGCUGGGGAU